rnacentral:rRNA from 1 species
AACGAACGCUGGCGGCGCGCCUAAUACAUGCAAGUCGAGCGAGAAGACGUAGCAAUACGUUUGUAAAGCGGCGAACGGGUGAGGAAUACAUGGGUAACCUACCCUCGAGUGGGGAAUAACUAGCCGAAAGGUUAGCUAAUACCGCGUACGCUCCUUGGACUUCGGUUCAGGGAGGAAAGCGAUACCGUGGGUAUCGCGCUCUUGGAUGGGCUCAUGUCCUAUCAGCUUGUUGGGAGGUAACGGCUCACCAAGGCUUCGACGGGUAGCUGGUCUGAGAGGACGAUCAGCCACACUGGCACUGCGACACGGGCCAGACUCCUACGGGAGGCAGCAGUAAGGAAUAUUGCGCAAUGGGCGAAAGCCUGACGCAGCGACGCCGCGUGGGGGGAUGAAGGUCUUCGGAUUGUAAACCCCUUUCGGGAGGGAAGAUGGAACGAGCAAUCGUUCGGACGGUACCUCCAGAAGCAGCC